AUUAAUGGAUUCCAUUUUGGCACGUGAUCUUAUUUGGUCUCACAAGCUAAACAGAGUGGGACAUAGUCAGUAGCUGGAUAUGGGUCUCUGAACA
rnacentral:rRNA from 1 species